UGCUCCUAGUACGAGAGGACCGGAGUGGACGCAUCACUGGUGUUCGGGUUGUCAUGCCAAUGGCACUGCCCGGUAGCUAAAUGCGGAAGAGAUAAGUGCUGAAAGCAUCUAAGCACGAAACUUGCCCCGAGAUGAGUUCUCCCUGAGACUUUAAGUCUCCUGAAGGAACGUUGAAGACGACGACGUUGAUAGGCCGGGUGUGUAAGCGCAGCGAUGCGUUGAGCUAACCGGUACUAAUGAACCGUGAGGCUUAACCUU
rnacentral:rRNA from 4 species